GAUUCCCCGCCUGGAGCCGGAGGCCCCGCCCACCCGCGUCACGUGGCGGGGGCGCGCGCGCAGGUUGCGCGAUGGUGGCGGCGGCGCCCGGUGACGGCGGCGGCGGCAGCGGGUAGAAAAUGGCGGAGUUCGAGGAGCUACGGAAUAUGGUAUCAAGUUUUCGGGUUUCUGAACUACAAAUGUUGUUGGGGUUUGCUGGCCGUAAUAAAAGCGGGCGGAAACAUGACCUCCUGAUGAGGGCACUGCACUUAGUGAAGAGCGGCUGCAGCCCAGCAGUUCAGUUAAAAAUCCGAGAACUCUAUAGGUAUCGGUACCCAAGGCCAAUUGAAACACUUUCGGACUUAUCGGCUAUAAACCCUCCGGUUUUUGGUUUGGACAGUAGCUCCUCUCCUGUUGAGCCUGACCUGGCUGUUGCUGGCAUUCACCCACUCCCUUCCACUUCAGUCACCCCUCAGUCUCCUUCCUCGCCUGUCAGUUCUGUGCUCCUCCAAGACACUAAGCCCCACUUUGAGAUGCAGCAGCCAUCUUCUCCGAUUCCACCUGUUCAUCCCGACGUUCAGCUGAAGAGCCUCCCUUUUUAUGAUGUGCUUGACGUGCUCAUAAAACCUACAAGUCUAGUACAGAGCAGUAUUCAGAGGUUCCAAGAGAAGUUUUUUAUCUUUGCUUUGUCACCUCAGCAGGUCAGAGAAAUCUGUAUUUCCAGGGACUUCUUGCCCGGAGGCAGGAGAGAUUACACAGUUCAGGUUCAGCUAAGGUUAUGCCUAGCGGAGACAAGCUGCCCUCAAGAAGAUAAUUACCCUAAUAGUUUGUGUAUUAAAGUUAAUGGGAAGCUGUUUCCAUUGCCGGGAUACCCUCCACCACCAAAAAACGGAAUUGAACAGAAGCGACCUGGGCGCCCCUUGAAUAUAACGUCUCUAGUUAGGUUGUCGUCAGCAGUGCCAAACCAGAUUACCAUUUCCUGGGCUUCUGAAAUUGGAAAGAGUUACUCCAUGUCUGUGUAUCUUGUUCGUCAGCUCACUUCAGCUAUGCUUUUGCAGAGGCUAAAAAUGAAAGGUAUCAGAAACCCCGAUCAUUCCAGGGCACUAAUUAAAGAAAAACUAACUGCAGAUCCUGAUAGCGAGAUUGCCACAACCAGUCUGCGGGUUUCUCUGACGUGUCCUCUGGGGAAAAUGAGACUGACAAUCCCAUGCCGCGCUGUGACUUGCACACACCUGCAGUGUUUUGAUGCUGCUCUUUAUCUUCAAAUGAAUGAAAAGAAGCCUACAUGGAUCUGCCCUGUCUGUGACAAAAAGGCAGCUUAUGAGAGCCUAAUAUUAGAUGGGCUCUUUAUGGAAAUCCUUAACGAAUGUUCAGAUGUGGAUGAGAUCAAAUUCCAAGAAGACGGUUCCUGGUGCCCCAUGAGGCCAAAGAAAGAAGCUGUGAAAUUCUCAAGUCCACAGUGUGGCAAAAUAGAAAGUUCCAGUGUUGUUAGCAAACCCAGUUCUGUGACGGUGACCAGUGAGAUAAACAAGAAGAAAGUUGAUGUUAUUGACUUGACUAUAGAAAGCUCUUCUGAUGAAGAGGAAGAUCCUCCUGCCAAAAGGAAGUGCAUAUUUAUGUCUGAAACGCAAGGAAGCCCAACCAAAGGGGUUCUCAUGUAUCAGCCAUCCACUGUCAGAGGGCCCAGCGUGACAACGGUCGAUGCUGCUGCUAUUCCUCCUUCAUUAACAGACUACCCAGUACCAUUCCAUCACCCACCAAUGUCCAGUAUUUCAUCAGACUUGCCAGACACAAAACGGGGAUGAUAUUAGAAAUGUUUCCUUAUUGGCUGCCCGUGGGUGGAGGAAGAGACCUGCUGCUUGUUUUUGGACUUGUGCAUGUUGUGACUUUACUUCAUUCCAGCAUCUUUAAUGUGAUGACACUCUUCAUGUCCCAGUUUGGCCAAGUCAGGUCUGGAUUUUCUUUCGCUAAUCCCAGUCGAUUCACAGUACUGUCCUCCUAUGUUUUUGGAUAGUCUCACCUCAACCUUAACAAGCAGCACGCCUGGCAGCAUCAUCACCUCGACCAGUCACCACGAGAGCAGCACACACGUUAGCUCCUCGGGCAGGAGCGAGCCCGGGGUGAUCACCAGCGGCGGCAGCGCUCCCGACAUCAUCUCGCUGGACUGAAACACGGGGCAGCUUUUUGGGGACUCUAGGAGAAAUCACGUAGAGCUGCCGCCUCCCCUUUCUGGAACUUGGGCAUCUCGGAAGUUGUUCUGGUAUUUAUUGAGGGGAUUUGCCUUCUGGAAAAUGGAUUAAAUUCAUCUGCGUUAGGAACAGAAGUUAUAGAUUGUUCUAUUAUUAUCUUCCUCAUUAAAGAGCUGGUAUAGUCCCAUUCAGAACAUGCUUGUAUGCUUUUGGCUUGUUCUGAGGAAACUGACCUUUUAUUGCUGGGUGGAUUCCACAAAUGUUUUUUAAAUUUUGUUGUAAAACACAGCAAUAAUGUAAAAAAACCCAAACUUUUUCUAAAAUAAAAAGAGGCACUUAACUACUCUAGAACACCAACAACCUGGGCAAAAGUGCAAAAGUGUAUGCAUCGGUGAAUUUUUACUAUUUUCACUGAGGCUUGUAAUAGACUUCACUUAAGACAAUGAAGCUUUGUGAAGUGGCCAUGACUUUUGUUUUAUGUCUCUUGUUCUCCACUGCUCCUUUACUUGGGGAUGUGGGAGAGCCCUCUGUAAAUGGAAUUUUUUUUUUCUUUAAAUCCUGAUUUAAUACUUUUUCAUAAAUGCAACAACAUCCUAAGCUGUGACUUCUUCUUCUUCUUCUUUAUGUUCUUCAGGCUGGGGAAGGGACAAAUUAUCUAUGCAACCCCUGCAUCACACCAUCACUGUGCUGUCGUGUCAGAAUUAGGACAUCUCCCCACCACCAAAAAAUCCACACUAUGCACAGCUGAGUUUUAGUUGAGUUUCUGGCUUUGAUAACUUUGAGGUGACAAGGGGGAAAAAAAAGCCUUUAAACUCAAAUUUAGGUGAUAAGGUUCUUGGUGCCUCCACCAGAUGAGCAGGUGAAGAGCAGGAUUUCUGUGGCAGCUGUGAGGAGACAAGAAGGAGUUACUUUGUCCAGUGCAGGUUUAUUUUCUGUCACUUUGAUAACUGCUGUGUUCCUCUUGGGAAUACCGCGCUCUGAUGUGCCACAGGGGAUGCUUGGCUUUUUGGGAGACAAAAGCUGUAUCUGCAGAGUUCACACCUGACUGGAAUUAUGUGUUCAGGGCUUAACGAUGUUUUGUCCCACAUUAUGUGGCCUCUGAAUUAUGGAUUUUCCGAUCCACUGGGAGUAAACCCCUCCUGUUUUACUCCUCUGAGAAACCUGCUGCUUAGUCAUAUCUGGUGCUUUUUGCCUUCCGUUACUUUAUGGUGUUCGAACGAAGUACCUGGACAAGAAAUACUGAAGCAGGAUGUAUUGUAGCUCGUCUGCCCUGUACUCCCACCUCUAAUGCUGUGUUAUUAUUCCUCAUUGCCAUUUGUGUAUAAUCUUUCACUCCAGUCUUCAGUUCACAUGUUGGUCUUAAUAUUGCACCCCAUCUUUCUUCUGUUUUCCUUAUCUGUUGAAUUUUUUUGUACCUGUUAAGGAUCAGUUUUUAGCAUGACUUAUUUCCAAUAAAGCCAUGCUACUCCUGAAGCUUUUUUUCCUAAUGGCCUGUGGCAUAUCAGUGGUUUCUGCAUCACAGUUGCACAGUGACUUGAACGGUAAGAGUUGUUGUUCCAGAGUAAUUCUGAAUAAAGUGUUUAAAACUGC